AACGAACGCUGGCGGCAUGCCUAACACAUGCAAGUCGAACGAGACCUUCGGGUCUAGUGGCGCACGGGUGCGUAACGCGUAGGAACCUGCCCUUAGGUUCGGAAUAACCCCCCGAAAGGGGUGCUAAUAUCGGAUAAUGUCUUCGGACCAAAGAUUUAUCGCCUUUGGAUGGGCCCGCGUUGGAUUAGCCAGUUGGUAGGGUAAAAGCCUACCAAGGCGACGAUCCAUAGCUGGUCUGAGAGGAUGAUCAGCCACACUGGGACUGAGACACGGCCCAGACUCCUACGGGAGGCAGCAGUGGGGAAUAUUGGACAAUGGGCGAAAGCCUGAUCCAGCAAUGCCGCGUGAGUGAUGAAGGCCUUAGGGUUGUAAAGCUCUUUUACCCGGGAUGAUAAUGACAGUACCGGGAGAAUAAGCUCCGGCUAACUCCGUG
rnacentral:rRNA from 1 species